rnacentral:rRNA from 1 species
CCCAAGAGAUCGGGAUAACACCUGGAAACAGAUGCUAAUACCGGAUAACAACAGAUGAUGCCUAUCAACUGUUUAAAAGAUGGUUCUGCUAUCACUCUCGGAUGGACCUGCGGUGCAUUAGCUAGUUGGUAGGGUAACGGCCUACCAAGGCGAUGAUGCAUAGCCGAGUUGAGAGACUGAUCGGCCACAUUGGGACUGAGACACGGCCCAAACUCCUACGGGAGGCAGCAGAU